UACGGAGGAUGCGAGCGUUAUCCGGAUUUAUUGGGUUUAAAGGGUGCGUAGGCGGACGCUUAAGUCAGCGGUAAAAUUGCGGGGCUCAACCUCGUCGAGCCGUUGAAACUGGGCGCCUUGAGUGGGCGAGAAGUACGCGGAAUGCGUGGUGUAGCGGUGAAAUGCAUAGAUAUCACGCAGAACUCCGAUUGCGAAGGCAGCGUACCGGCGCCCAACUGACGCUGAAGCACGAAGGCGUGGGUAUCGAACAGG
rnacentral:rRNA from 1 species